UAGUCCACGCCGUAAACGAUGGUAACUUGUUGUUGGAGGUAUUGACCCCUUCAGUGACGGAGCUAACGCGUUAAGUUACCCGCCUGGGGAGUACGGCCGCAAGGCUAAAACUCAAACGAAUUGACGGGGCCCCGCACAAGCAGCGGAGCGUGUGGUUUAAUUCGAUGAUACACGAAGAACCUUACCUGGGUUUGACAUGGCCGUGGUAUCGAAGCGAAAGCUGAGAGACCCUUCGGGGAGCGGUCACAGGUGCUGCAUGGCUGUCGUCAGCUCGUGCCGUGAGGUGUCGGGUUAAGUCCCGUAACGAGCGCAACCCUUGCCCCUAGUUACAAGUGUCUAGGGGGACUGCCGGUGAUAAAUCGGAGGAAGGUGGGGAUGACGUCAAGUCAGCAUGGCCUUUAUAUCCAGGGCUACACACACGCUACAAUGGCCGGUACAAUGGGUAGCGAAGCCGCGAGGAAGAGCGAAUCUCGAAAGCCGGUCGUAGUUCGAAUUGUAGGCUGCAACUCGCCUACGUGAAG
rnacentral:rRNA from 1 species